GGUAUAGCUCAGUGGUAGAGCACUUGCGUAGCAUGCACAAGGCCCUGGGUUUAAUUCCCAGCACC
rnacentral:tRNA from 1 species